rnacentral:tRNA from 1 species
GGAGGAAUGGCAGAGUGGUCGAUUGCGUCGGUCUUGAAAACCGAAGAGCCGCAAGGUUCCGUGGGUUCGAAUCCUACUUCCUCCGCCA